UACAGAGGGUGCGAGCGUUAAUCGGAAUUACUGGGCGUAAAGCGUGCGUAGACGGUUACAUAAGUCGGGUGUGAAGCCCCGGGCUCAACCUGGGAAUUGCAUUCGAGACUGCGUAGCUAGGGUGCGGAAGAGGGAAGCGGAAUUUCCGGUGUAGCGGUGAAAUGCGUAGAUAUCGGAAGGAACACCAGUGGCGAAAGCGGAGC
rnacentral:rRNA from 1 species